UACAGAGGGUGCAAGCGUUAAUCGGAAUUACUGGGCGUAAAGCGUGCGUAGACGGUCAUGUAAGUCGGGUGUGAAAGCCCCGGGCUCAACCUGGGAAUUGCAUUCGAGACUGCAUGGCUAGGAUGCGGAAGAGGGAAGCGGAAUUUCCGGUGUAGCGGUGAAAUGCGUAGAUAUCUGGAGGAACACCGGUGGCGAAGGCGGCAUCCUGGACCAACACUGACACUGAGGAGCGAAAGCCAGGGGAGCAAACGGG
rnacentral:rRNA from 1 species